UAUAAAAUUCAUGCACUACAUGGUUGAGUACAUGGUGCAUAAGCACAUAGUGCAUAAGUGCACAGUGUAUAGUGCGUCAAUUGGGACGCAGUUAUAGUGUUAAUUAAAGCAAA